GGUUGCUGGGAGGGGGGUGCUGCUGUGUUCAGCACUUCCUGUGGGGAAAUCAGUCCGCUGGAAAAAGGGGUGUUUCUGUUAUUUUUCCCCUGGCUCUUAGAGGCUGCCCAUCAUAAACACAGGAGCUAAAUGCGUUGCUUAGAGGUCUGGGAGAAGGCUGCGUAUGUGUGUGCAGUGACACCAUCACAGAAGGCCACUAGAUUGGUUAAGCAGGAUUUGCCAUUCAUGAAGCCAUGCUGGUUCUCCCAUAUCAGCUCCCUGCCUUCCAUGAGCUUAGCAUAGCUUCCAGGAGGAUCUGCUCUGUGAUCUUCCCAGCACAGAGGUGAGACUGACAGGUCAGUAGUUCCCAGGGUCACGUUCUUUACUGUUUUUAAAAAUGGGUGUGAUGUUACCUAUUUUCCAGUCACCAGGGACUUCACCUGAUUGUCACUACUUUUCAAAUGUCAUAGAGGGUGGCUUGGCAACUAGAUCAGCUACCUCAGGACUCUGGGAUGCAUCUCAUCAAGACCCAUAGGCUUGUGGAUGUUCAGGUUCCUCAGGUGGUCGCAAACCUGAUCUUCGCUUACAGUGGGAGGGAUGUUUCUUCCCCAACCCUCUCCUACCAAACCAAAUGUUUGAGGGGCCUGAUAUGGUGAAUAUGCACUGUACUCAGUGCCAGAGUGCACAGAUGCUGACCUGGAUCUGGUCAGCAUUUCCUUAUGGAAAUUCUCCCUUUCUAGAAGGGAAGGUGGAAUACUUCCUCACUGAAACAUCAGUAAUUCAGGUGCUUAGUGCCCUCUUAUGUGCAAGUAGCCUGCCGUUAUGACUGGAAAUAAAAUUUCCUGCUUUCCCAAGAGCAGCCUGCCUGAAUAAGCAGGUUACAAACUGACCUUGGUAAAUCUGGCUCAGUUUCUUACUGUAGUCACACACCGUGAUUAAUUUAGCUUUGGAGGAGACGGAGAGGAUGAAAGAGUCAUUAAGGUGUCUGUCUAAUAGUAGAGUGCUGCUCUGAAAGAAAUAUUUCUAAAUAUACUGAAAGAAGCAGUGCCAUCACUGAUACCGGAAUAAACAAACCCAGAACAACGCAUUUCUUAGAGUGGGAAUGUGUGGCAUCUUCUGUUACAUCUCAGUCGUGGAAGACUGAAGGAAUGAGCAUACGGGUUACAUGGAAUGCAAAACGUGUCCUACAAGACACUUCAGACUGAUCCUUGUGAGUACCAAACCCCGAUUUCUCUGUGCAAAGGUGAAAUCAUAUCAUUGAUUCUCGCUGUGACCUAGUUAUGUGUUCACAUUGUAUUUGUGCUUUGCAUUUCUCCCCUCAGUGUAAGAGCUGGUGCAUUAGAGAUGCUGAAAUAAGGCUGAUGGUUGGGCUGAAAGAUCUUAGAGGUAUUUUUCCAAUCUUAAUGAUCCUGCGAUUCUCUGAUUUUCUUCUUAAAAAGAAAACAGUGUUCCUGUGUGAUCUUUACAAUAUACUUUGGAAAUACCACUAAGGUCCAAUGUGGAACAUUGUGAGAAAAUGGCAGGAAAGCGUUGAGGUGCAUUGCUUAGUGAUGGGACUCAGUCAGGUCAGUGGCUGGACUUGGUGAUCUUGGAGGUGUUUUUGAACCUCGGUGAUUCUAUGAUUCUGUGUAUGUGUUUGUUAUUUUUAACUCUUAGCAAGCCUGUUCCAUUAUUUCAAUAGCAGCCAUUCUGGUAAUGUUUCACCUGCUCUGAAUGUCUUUUUUUAUUCCAAUGAAUCAGAAUUUACCAGCCUGUUCCUGUGGUAAGCAGAUACAGAUAAACAUACAUCUUUGCAUUUCUUGAUGAUUAAUUAAUGCUAUUGGAAUCUCUCACUUUUAUUCUUUUGGGCAUUUGAUACCAUGUUCUCCUGAAGCAGUGUAGUUACCUUUGUUAGCUUCAGUGUAUAUAUUUUUGUUUGUUUGUUUGUUUGUUUUUGGUUUUUUUUUUGCUUAUGGAAACUGUAUUUUUGAGCUGAGGCUACAUCAUAUGUCGUUACCAUAAGAAUGUGAACUGCUUUAAGAAGUGCCCUGCAAGAGAGGAGGACUGGAGAUGUUAGCACCAGGGAUGGAGCUAUAGGGUGGGUUACACAAAUUGCUGCAGCCAGCAGGGGAAGGGCUGUUGUACUUCUGUGGUGGCAAAAGCAGUGUUCUGGUUGUAACAAAACAGUGAUGUUUCUCUCUUCUGUACAUAACACUUCCUUUUCCUUCAUUUUUGCUCCCCAUUGUUGACAGAGCCUCCUCAUGCAGUAGUCAUAGAAAGAUAAUUUCAAUUUGGUUGCUCUCUAGUGAGAAGAUACAAAGCUCUGUACCAGCUCUGUAAUGAAAAAUAUCUUAAAUUAAAAUGAUUAUUAAUUUUUAAUCUGGCUUUGUGUUUUUAGUUGUCUUUGCAACAAAAGUUGGUGCGAUGCCAAUGUCUCUUUCUAUUGCAGAGCAGUGUAAAUAGAAAAUUCUGCUUUGGCAUUUGGGUAAAUGAAGUAGUAAAUAAAAUGUUUGGAAGUGAGUCAUGCUUAUUUACUAAAACACAUUCCUGGAGUUUCUCUGGGAAAGCCUAGCAAGAAAUGAAUAUUAAUGUUGGAAUUGAGUACUUUAUCUUUUGUAAUAUAAUCUGUUUUAUUAACAAGUUAAUUAGUAGAAACUUAAGAAUGGAUUACCUAGUUUUAUUAGCAAGAACAACUUGCUGUGAUAGGGCAAAGUGAAUGUAAAGUCAGCCAGCAGUGUUAUGCUCUUAAUAACAGUGACAAAGAUUACUGGGCUGUCAGCAUUAGCUUCAUCUAACUAUUGAUGUUACUGUUUAGGGAGAGUAUUGCUAAUGAUUUUCCUCUUUUUUUUUUUUUAAUUGAAAAUAAAUGUUGCAGCAGGAGUCGAGAAGGCAAAAGUGCUUUGUCCUGAAGUUCAUUCUAGAAAUGAACAGUUAUAUUUAUCUAGGACACAGUGAGUAAAGCAAUGAAGAAUGGUGGUAUAAUCCCAGUAAAACUGAGUGACAUACCAUGAUGGCAUUAGGAAAUAAAUCUUGUAAAAUAUUUUCCAAUGUCUUUCAGUGAGAACCUCCCGCAGUAAGGACAUCUGGGUCAGAUUCUGUUGUGCCAUCCUACUGAUUCAGACAAUCCUGGCUCCUUGUUAGCUUUUGCUUUACUGAGAAUGGCCUAUGAGUGCCUUCUAACUUCAUGGCAAUAAUCAUAUGAAUUAAUCAGAUAAAGGGAAUGAUCACCUAGAACAAGUUUGUUGUGUUGUAAUGCUAUUUAAUGGUUUCGUCAAUGACCUAGAAAAAAAAAAUGAAUGAAAUAUAACUCUUAGUAAAACUUCUAGAUUUUUUUCAAGUGAAUUUGAUAUUGAUGUUAAUAAUAAUUAAUCUCUGUGAUUCUACUUAGUUGGUAAAUUAAAUGGUUGUCCAAAUCAGCUUGCAGCCAAAUACAAAGAAAAAAAGAAUCAGGGCCAUUUUAAAUAAGUGAUUUGUUUUCCAGCAAGCAAUGACUGGCACUGAAGUGACAUUAUAGUAUUUGGUUUGGGAUUCCUUCUUAUAUUAUUAUUUUAUUUUCAGUCUUAACUGGGGAAGGCUUUUGAUUACUUGAGGUUUCUGUAGAAACCUUGUCUCAGACCUUGGGGUGGCAGCUGAGGAGACCCCAUCCGCUGCUAUAGAUGGGCUUUACUACUCUGUUGCAGAAGAUGUUGGCAACAGUUGUGCUUCUGGAGCUUUACGUAAGAUUUUGGUAUCCUGAGCCCACAUCCCUCAAUGCCCUGAAGGAUAAUUUCUUUGAGUAUGAACUCUGACAGCCUUCGUCAAGCAGUAUAGAGAUGGUUUGGGGUCUCUGAUUAGCCUGAUUGACUCCCCCAGAUGUGUUGGUUUCUCCUUUGAAGGUCCAGCAGCUCUCUGUGUCACUGAUGGUGCCUGUUGUGAUUGACUGUUUCAGUGUACUGAAGAGUCUGGCAGACAUAUAGUUACUGGAGCUGGCAAGCCCCAGCUAGAAAUUUGUCUUACGGAUCUGGAAGAAGAUCAUGCUUUACUCCAAUUAAGGUAUUCAAGAAUUUUUGAGGACUGCAGUAUAUGGAAUAUGACUAGAUACUAACCUUUGAAAAUGUAAAAUCUGCUGUUGCUGGUUUUCUUAGAGCAACUUCCUUAAAACAAUUUGAAACUUCAAAAGAGCACAACUGUAUAAGUAGUAACAGGAAUUCUUUAUUUUAUGAAUGAAAGAGCUUAGAAUUAGGAUGUGGAUUUGAAGAUGCAGCCAACACGAAAACUAACUAGAAACAAUGAUGGCAACCACAGAUGUGCUGGUGGAAAAGUUGUUUCUCUUGUUGGAGUUAGUAGAGCAUGUCUGCACAACCAAGAACACAUGGAGAGGAGAACACAAGAGAUAACACUUUUUUUUGUCACUGACAUACCAUCAAAAAAAAAAAAAAAAAAAAAAAGCACUGCAGAAUAAAAGGGACUUAAGAAUUCUGAUUUUAUCAGCUCCAAGUUUCUCCCUGUUGUCUCGUCCCAUCUUCAGAUCAUUGUUUGAAGUUGACUGUUUUUCUGGCCCCCGACUCAUUGGCCUUUCCUGCCAGCAGAGGGUGCCAAAAGAACAUGUGGUAUCUACAAAUGAAGACUCCAGGGUUGAACUGGUUCUGUACCCAUCGUUUUGAAUCAAGGUCUUCCUCUGAAGCAAGUUGGAUAAAAGAACUUGUUUGCAGUGGCAGCAUGCAGGAUAAUUUGGUGUUUCUUUGAAUUUGUAAGAGAAGGAUGGAGAAUGGGCCUGAACAGCUUCGAUGGCUUUCUACGUCCUCACCAGUCUUAUGGCUGCCAUUAAAACAGCACCUGGCCCUUCUUGCAUUGCCACCAAACCACCUUUUUAAGUGUGGUACAGAGCCCUUCCUCUGGUUUAGUUUUUUCUUUGUGUGUCUCUUCUUCCUUUCUCCCAGUUACAAAAAUCUUCAAGAGUAUUCUGUAACAGCAAAGGAAGCACCUAAAUGACUCUUUUUGUGUCUCUCCAACCUGGCUGUUAGCUUCAGCUGAUGCUUCCUUCAUAUCAGAAAUGGCCGUGAACCAUUGAUCUUUAUGCACUGGGUUGGUGGUGUUUCAUUUUUAGCCCUCAGUUACAUCCUUCCUGAUACAUCGCUGUUCUUUCUCUUUGCAUCUUUGUAUGGAAGCCAGCUUAGGGCUUUGACCGGCUGUAUUCUCUGAACCUUUUCCCAGUUCUACAGAAACUGCUGCAGUAAAAAGAAAACCACAGCUGCACUCAGCAUUCAAGGUACAGGCUUUCAGUGGUCAUGUUUUGUUCUCUGUGCCUUACCUUUUGACUGCUUCUGGACAUGCAACUCUUGUGCUGCUUGCUGUAGUGGUAGGAUUUCACAGUGAGUGGUAGUGAUGAGUUCAGGCCUCAUUACAUGUGAAACAGAAUUUGCCUAUACGCUCUUUAAUCAUGGAAAUUGUCUUUCGUGUGCUAUUUUAUUGCCUGUUUUUUGGUCACACCAGGUCCUUCUGCAGUUUUGCAGAAUUGGUCUCAUUUUUACCUGCCUGAAAUAGUUUGGAAAGUAGCAGUUUGCCAUCGCUGCCUUAUUCAGGUUCUGAUAGAGUUAGGGUGCAGAACUUCACAAGAAGCCAUAAUUUUUCUAAUGCUGAGCCACCCCCUUCUUUUCUUUUUCCUUUCCCAUUAAGUUUUACCACUGACUUGAGAUGCAGCACUGGUGGCCAGGCCUUCCCACAGUGAGUCUCUGAUCACUGUAGAUUUUGCCUGGAGAUCCUUACGGGGCAAAUUCUCACCCAUGGCUGAAAGACGUAAGUGCACAGGCUUGAAGGAGGGCAUUCCACCUCCAGAUAACUUUGUAGAUUAGCUGUAGUCAUGCGUUUCAUGUGGUGUGACAUGGUAGAAUGGCUCUGCCCUGGAACCCCCAGUCCCUUCUCCACCCACCGCUCCUGCACGGCUAUUUACAUCAUGUUUACAUCCCUUUGGCCAGUUCAGCCAUCUCACACCGCACCCUGUGAUUAAGACCACAAACAGCACCAUCAGUAAGUUUUAAGCAGUUUAUUCACAAGGGCUCUCGAGCCUCCCCCCACUCCUAGCUCAGUUACUGUGCAAUUGUGAUGCAGAGAGCACCAACCAGCUGCAAGCCAUUAGAAAACACUUCAUGAGCAGCGUGGCUUUAUUAGAAAUAAAUCAUGCUAAAAACUGAUCCUUAACAGAUACAAAAAAUUAACAGGUAAGGAAAGGAGAAGAAAAUGGAUGUAAUAUUAAGACCAAUGGGUGAAUUGAGGAUUGAAGUGAAAGAUGAUACAAAAAAGGCAAUGAGAAACAGCAGUGCAGCAUUAAAGAUGAGAGUACAGAGCAGACAAGAGGUACAGUACAUCCUGCUUCAAUAUUUCUUAUCCAUAUGCUUAGUUCAAAUACUGUAACAGUACUGGAAGGCAAAAAAGCACCAGACAUUUGAUGAAAGAAAUAAAAUGUGAAACAAAAUUAGGGAAAAAUGAAUGCUGGAAGUAGGGAAAGAGUAAUCUCAAAUACAGUUACUCAACAGAGAAACAACACUUGGAAAAGUUGCUAUGUCAACAUAUACAGACAAUACCAUUAUUCCAGCAGUAUGGAAAUGAUUUUCCUGGUCUUUAACCUCUCCCACGUACAGCACUGCCUGCGUUAUCCCCAGAAACGUGCAGGGCUAUGCCCCACAUGCUGAACAAGGCAGCACAGCAGAAGAGGAGGUUAUUUCCAUCUGAUUACGUGGCCUUCUGAUCAUGGCAGUUCUACGGUGGGACAAAGCAUCAUUCAGCCCUAAACACACAAGGGCUGCUCCAAAAGUAAUGCCUCCUAUUUCUUGAUGUCAGCCCACGAAGGCAGAGGCGGAUGUUGAUAGUACGGCAGUAGAGGCUGAACCUUCCCACCAAUAUUCCAUUUUGUCAGCGCGUGACAGAUGGCAGCAGAGGGGCAGUCCAACAGAAUGGCGUCUGACAUGGAAGUGUUUAUGAAGCAAAGGUGUGGAACUGAAUUCCUCCAUGUAAAAAAAAAAAAAAAAAAAGACACCCACUGAUGUUCAUUUAUGAGCACGGCCUACAGGCACUCAUUCAUCACUAGCAAAAAUGCAGAGCUAACUAACAGUAGUGACUGCUGAAAAAGUGUUUUGUAGCUGAGACCAUGCUCUAUUCCAAUAGCAUUACUAUAUCUUCCUAUCUGUUGUUAUUUCCAUGGAAAUAAUUAGCAAGCAUUACUUUCAGAGCAACCUCUCCAUAGUUUGAGUUCAGUGUGAGCUGUAUGCAGCUACAGCUAUUUUGCUCCAAGAAGAAAUACUUACACUAUGGCAAACAAGACUGCAGUAUGCCCAGGCAGAACACAGCCAUUGCCAAAGUAGCAAAGGUGUGGGUAUGACAUCCCAGAAAACAAUUCUGCACUGAAGAAAGUCAUCAGUGUGCCCUCUCUCCUUACAGGUGUCAUAGAAAGCUGGCACCUUACUGGCACAUCUAAGGGCAGAGCUGGUGGUGGCAAAGAAAGACACCAGGUACUUAAAAGCAAGGAAAAACUUUGUCAUCUCUUAAAGUUACCAAAUCAGAAACUCAGCUAUGUCCCAACUGUGCAUAGUUUGGGGGUUUUGGUGGUGGGAGAAGUGUCCCACUCUGACAUGGCAGCACAGAGAGGUUGUACAAUGCAAGGUUUGCAUAGAUAGCUUGCCCAUCCCCAGCUCAAAAAACAUUAAGAAGUCACAGUUAGGAGUGUUAAAUUUGUGAAGAACAUGAAAUCUAAAGAAAAAAACUCCACUUACAGCCCCUUCCCAUCCAUCGCAGGUAAGGGGAAAGUGGGGAUCACGAAACAUAAAAGUGAAGUCAUGGCUAUUUCACAAAGCUUCAUUGUCUUAGAAUGAAGUUUAUUACCAGCCCCAGUGAAAAUAUUAAAAAUUCACCAUCUACCUUUGCACCAUUUUCCAGGUGGUGGUUUUUCUAGAGUGGUUAAGUGCCUUUUUUAUUUAAAAAAAAAGUUUGUUUUUACAUUAUUGCUGUUUUACAACAAAUCAUAGAAUCACAGGGGUUGGCAGGGACCUUGAGAUCAUUUAAUCCAACCCCCUGCUAAAGCAGUUCCCUACAGCAGGUCGAGGGUCGAGCAGGAAAGCAUCCAGGCAGGCCUUGAGUAUCUCCAGAGAGGGAGACUCCACCACCUCUCUGGGCUGCCUGUGGUCUGUCACCCUCAAAAUUAAACAUUUGUUGAAUUCAUCCAACAACAGAAUGUCAGUUUCCCCAGAACAAUGCAGAAGCACAAAACGCAGGUUCUGAAGGGGCCUUUCCUAUACCAACUAUUUAAUAAGCAAGAAAAAAGAAACGUCCUAUCACCUCUGUCCCUAAUGUAAAUGAAUUUACUUCAUUUUCCAGAAGGCAGAUCCUUUCAAUAAAUAUCAGAGUAACUUCAGAGAUGCUGAAGUUCCAGAGAUACAAGCAGCAGCUGUGUGUAAUUUCUCCUGGAGCUCCAAUGCUGCCUCUUGUUUCAGUCCAGUGAGAUGAUGUCAGGAGCGCUGCCACUGCUGCUGGUUAUAACUCCCGUCUCACUCCUGUUGGAGGAGCUAACGUGCGUGUUGCUCUCGUGGUGACUGGUCGAUGUGAUGAUGCUGCCAGGCGUGUUGCUUGUUAAGGUUGAGGUGAGACUAUCCAAAAACAUAGGAGGACAGUACUGCUUGAAACAAACAAUGAAAAAUGAAGAGACUAACUGCACAAGGGAAAUGUAUGCUCUGAAGAUACAUCUUCCCUACAACAAGCACAACACAAUUGACUAGCUGGACCUCACUAGUGCAUGCAGAGCAAGAAUGAGAGUUCUGCUGAACAGCAAGGAAGCAAGCAGAGGUGGGAGCAGCAAUCCCUUCUUCGUCCACUCUGUUCUUCCUCCUCCUAACCAGUUAGUCUGAGCAUUUACAGGCACAUUAGGAAACACUAUCAUGAGCACAGGACCUCCCAGCAGUAUCCAAAUGGAAACCUGCAAUGAACAGUGUCCCUCAAGGGUCCAUACUGGAAUCAGUACUACUGAGAUCAGUACUACUUGUAUCUUACUGACAAGGAUAAUGGCACCUUAAUAAUGGCAAGGAUAGUGGUGCAGGUGACACAGCAGGAGGGGAUGCCAUCCAGCAGGACCUGAAUGAACCCAUGUGAACUGAAUGAGGUACAGCAGGGCCAAGUGCAGUGCACUGCUCCCAGAUUACAGAAAUUCUGGGCACAAAAUACAAGGUAUAGGCAGAGAAUGGAUUGAGAGCAGCGCUGCAGAGAAGGGCUUGGAGUACUGUCACAUGAAAAGCAGAGUGCACCUGCAGCCCAGAAAAGCUGAUCAUCUUGGACUGCAUCAAAAGGAGGCCAGCAGGUCAAGGGAGAUGAUUGUCAUUUUCUAUUCUGCUCUCAUGAGAACUCCAGGUUGAGUACUACCUUAGUUAGGGAGGCAGUAUUCCCCUCUUGAAGGCUAUCGACCAUCUGUGUAAGAAUCUAAUUAUAAUCCAAUCAUUUAUGCAAAUGCAAGGAGAAGCACCAUCUAGUUACUUUUGACCUACAAAACUUUCACGUAUAGCAAGGCCAAUGGAUUUUAUGUGUUAUACUGAAGGACUUGUAAAAAUGUUCAGUCGGUGUGCCCAAACUAAUGACAAUAUCAUCUUUACAACUCAAUCUACAAUUAUUAUCACAGCCAACCACACUGAAAUUGUUACAGAAGUUAAUCUGGCUUACAGAUACACAGUAUGAACUAAAAGCAUGGAAGACAUAAUAGCUGUAAUCAUGUCAGCGCUGUGCAAGUAUCUGCUUUAGUAAGGCAAAACAAGCUACCAAUAAUUUGCUGUGCAUGGAUUUAUAGUGCCAUUAAACAGAAUCUUCCUUUCA